rnacentral:rRNA from 1 species
GCCUAACACAUGCAAGUCGAGGGGUAGCAGGAUGUAGUAAUACAUUGCUGACGACCGGCGCACGGGUGAGUAACACGUAUGCAACCUACCUUCUACAGGGGAAUAGCCCGGAGAAAUUCGGAUUAAUACCCCAUAACGCAGGGAUACCGCAUGGUAAUAUUUGCUAAAGAUUAAUCGGUAGAAGAUGGGCAUGUGUUCCAUUAGCCAGUUGGUGAGGUAACGGCUCACCAAAGCUACGAUGGAUAGGGGAACUGAGAGGUUUAUCCCCCACACUGGAACUGAGACACGGUCCAGACUCCUGCGGGAGGCAGCAGUGAGGAAUAUUGGUCAAUGGACGAGAGUCUGAACCAGCCAAGUCGCGUGAAGGAUGACGGCCCUACGGGUUGUAAACUUCUUUUGUAUGGGAGUAAAAAGAUGGACGUGUCCAUUAUUGCAAGUACCAUACGAAUAAGCAUCGGCUAACUCCGUGCCAGCAGCCGCGGUAAUACGGAGGAUGCGAGCGACCUACUCUUGACAUCCAGAGAAUUAGCCAGAGAUGGCUGAGUGCCUUCGGGAGCUCUGAGACAGGUGCUGCAUGGCUGUCGUCAGCUCGUGUUGUGAAAUGUUGGGUUAAGUCCCGCAACGAGCGCAACCCUUAUCCUUUGUUGCCAGCGAUUCGGUCGGGAACUCAAAGGAGACUGCCGGUGAUAAACCGGAGGAAGGUGGGGAUGACGUCAAGUCAUCAUGGCCCUUACGAGUAGGGCUACACACGUGCUACAAUGGCGUAUACAAAGAGAAGCGAGCCUGCGAGGGGAAGCGGACCUCAUAAAGUACGUCGUAGUCCGGAUUGGAGUCUGCAACUCGACUCCAUGAAGUCGGAAUCGCUAGUAAUCGUAGAUCAGAAUGCUACGGUGAAUACGUUCCCGGGCCUUGUACACACCGCCCGUCACANCCAUGGGAGUGGGUUGCAAAAGAAGUAGGUAGCUUAACCUUCGGGAGGGCGCUUACCACUUUGUGGUUCAUGA